rnacentral:rRNA from 2 species
AGAUUGAACGCUGGCGGCAGGCCUAACACAUGCAAGUCGAGCGGAAACGAGUUAUCUGAACCUUCGGGGAACGAUAGCGGCGUCGAGCGGCGGACGGGUGAGUAAUGCCUAGGAAAUUGCCCUGAUGUGGGGGAUAACCAUUGGAAACGAUGGCUAAUACCGCAUAAUGCCUACGGGCCAAAGAGGGGGACCUUCGGGCCUCUCGCGUCAGGAUAUGCCUAGGUGGGAUUAGCUAGUUGGUGAGGUAAGGGCUCACCAAGGCGACGAUCCCUAGCUGGUCUGAGAGGAUGAUCAGCCACACUGGAACUGAGACACGGUCCAGACUCCUACGGGAGGCAGCAGUGGGGAAUAUUGCACAAUGGGCGCAAGCCUGAUGCAGCCAUGCCGCGUGUGUGAAGAAGGCCUUCGGGUUGUAAAGCACUUUCAGUCGUGAGGAAGGUAGUGUAGUUAAUAGCUACAUUAUUUGACGUUAGCGACAGAAGAAGCACCGGCUAACUCCGUGCCAGCAGCCGCGGUAAUACGGAGGGUGCGAGCGUUAAUCG